CCUACGGGAGGCAGCAGUGGGGGAUAUUGCACAAUGGGGGAAACCCUGAUGCAGCGACGCCGCGUGUAGGAAGACGGUCCUCUGGAUUGUAAACUACUGUCCCCAGGGACGAAGAUGACGGUACCUGGGGAGGAAGCUCCGGCUAACUACGUGCCAGCAGCCGCGGUAAUACGUAGGGAGCGAGCGUUGUCCGGAAUUACUGGGUGUAAAGGGAUCGUAGGAGGGGAUGCAAGUGGGGUGUUAAAUCUACCGGCUCAACUGGUAGUCGCACUCAAAACUGCAGCUCUUGAGUGAAGUAGAGGCAGGCGGAAUUCCUAGGGUAGCGAGGAAAUGCGAAGAUAUUAGGAGGAACACCAGUGGCGAAGGCGGCCUGCUGGGCUUUUACUGACGCUGAGGCUCGAAAGUGUGGGGAGCAAACAGGAUUAGAUACCCGUGUAGUC
rnacentral:rRNA from 1 species